CAGUCGCCGCGGGAAUACGUAGGUGGCAAGCGUCGUCCGGAAUUAUUGGGCGUAAAGGGCUCGCAGGCGGUUUCUUAACUCUGAUGUGAAAGCCCCCGGCUCAACCGGGGAGGGUCAUUGGAAACUGGGAAACUUGAGUGCAGAAGAGGAGAGUGGAAUUCCACGUGUAGCGGUGAAAUGCGUAGAGAUGUGGAGGAACACGAGUGGCGAAGGCGACUCUCUGGUCUGUAACUGACGCUGAGGAGCGAAAGCGUGGGGAGCGAACAGGAUUAGAUACCCCAGUAGUCCCUGUCUCUUAUAA
rnacentral:rRNA from 1 species